rnacentral:rRNA from 2 species
UACGAAGGGGGCUAGCGUUGCUCGGAAUUACUGGGCGUAAAGGGCGCGUAGGCGGACGACUAAGUUGGGGGUGAAAUCCCAGGGCUCAACCCUGGAACUGCCUCCAAAACUGGUCGUCUUGAGUAUGGGAGAGGUGUGUGGAACUCCGAGUGUAGAGGUGAAAUUCGUAGAUAUUCGGAAGAACACCAGUGGCGAAGGCGACACACUGGCCCAUUACUGACGCUGAGGCGCGAAAGCGUGGGGAGCAAACAGG